rnacentral:misc_RNA from 1 species
CUGAGUACUACACUCUCUACCCUUUGUGAGCUAUUAUACCUGUUGCUUCGGCGGCGCCCGCAAGGGUGCCCGCCGGUCUCAUCAGAAUCUCUGUUUUCGAACCCGACGAUACUUCUGAGUGUUCUUAGCGAACUGUCA